CUGACCUCAGAUCAGGCAAGACCACCCGCUGAGUUUAAGCAUAUCACUAAGCGGAGAAA
rnacentral:rRNA from 1 species